UGUAUGAGUUGAAUGAUUUACUGGUUAUUGAAAUCAUAUAUCGUAACUUUUCUAUUUUAACAUUCGAGCUACGCGCAGGAGCUUCUGUCAACUUCUGAGCUCUAGUUUCUCCGUGAAAUACACUAUGAGGUUUUCUCCAUUUAUCUUUCUCCUCUUUUGUGUUGCAGUUAAUGGAUUUUGUUUUCCACCAGUCAUGGUGUGAAUCACACCCCUACCCACAGGAUAAGCUGUUAAGUUAAUGUAUUUAUUUGGUAUUGUUGUAUUCUUGAAAAGAAUAGCAAUUACAUGACAUGCUAAUUAUAGUACUAAGAUGAACAAUGGUUAUAUAAGCAAAAUAGAAGAUAUCAGUUGAAUAACUAUCUGUUAAAUAAAUUUACUAAUUUUAGAACUGCCAACAUGGACACAAAUUUGAACGAAUAUUUUGUUGCACAUUUUAGUGUUAUUAAUAAUACAUAAUCCCCAUCGUAUUAUAACAGCCUUGGUCUGACAAGGAUUAUACUGAACCGUCGACGUCAUCCGCAGAAAACGACAAAAUCGGACAUGAAACGCAUAAAUGUAUUCUCGCUAUGACACACAUUUAAAACAAUCGCAAACGAUGGUAUUGCAUUAUAACAAAAAUUCCAUGUCGUAAAAUCAUAUGUAAAUUACCAAAGAAAUUUCAAAUUCUUUAGGUGUUGCGGUGGCAUUCGAUUGCACUGAUGAGGCAAAAAAAUUGUGUGGCUCUGUUUAUGCUAAACUUGACAAGAGUAGCAUAUUUUGCAGCAAAUAUCAGAAAUUUUACAAAUGCAUCAAAGAAAAAGACCGAUUCUGUACAGGAUUUUUUGAAUUUGCAUAUUACCAUAAGUGUAUGAAACAUACGACACCGAAAUCAAACUCCGGCAACAGAGUUGGGGUGAAGAUUCGAUCAGUAUUGAUGAUUGCAGUUGUAACUCUAAUAUACACACUUACAUAAAUAAAUAUUACUGCGCUA